rnacentral:piRNA from 1 species
UAAAUAAGGCUGCUAUGAACAUAGUGGA